GUCUCUCAGCCAGUUUAAGCUGGUGUUAAGGUAGACAAGCAGACUGGUUAAGACCACCAAGACUAAAUGAAGUUGUUUGUCACGGACAUCUUAGGAGGAAGAGAAUACAGAUACCAGACAUUUUCUUUACUAAAAUGGACAGGUUUUGUUUUCUUUUUUCCUUUUAAACGAUUUUUUAUGUAGAAGAAAUUUGAAAAUUUGGAGGCAGCACCAGCUUUUUUUUAAAUGAAGAAUGGUGUAUAUGAACUGAGUCUGUCUGCAUGAUGCAGCUCUGAUGUUUCUUGGAAUAGAAACCCUAACUAAGACACAUCCCUAAGUAGAAACUACUGCGGCUCAGGAUACUUGGUGCUCGAAACC
ensembl:processed_transcript